rnacentral:sRNA from 1 species
CUAGAUGAGUGAGGGAUGAUAUAUGGCAAUUGUCCCAUGGCAUUUGGCUUAAGGCCAUUAUUUACCUCAAGCUGAAUGAUAGACCCUCCAUGGAAGAGCAGAGCUAGUUCUCAUAGUUCGCGUUGGUGUGGAUUCCAGGUGCAUAUACUUACUGCCCUGAUCGCCGUGGAGCGAUAGCGCUAUUCGAACAGUCUAUAUGGCAAUUUUAAGGCGGAUGAGCUGAUUGAAAUUGACAAACCAAGAACACAUUGCCGCCCUAUAGCUUUGUCAACACCGCACAAUCGAUUUUAUCACCUCGGCAGAUUAGUCCACUUCAAGACUUAUACAUAAGUGAGAUAGACGCGGUGGGUCAUUACAAUCGCCUUGACAAUCAUUCAAAUGAAAGUAAAAGCAAUCCCAGAUGCUUUUCUCCUUAAGCUCAAACGGCAGUGUUGUGAGGUGGAGUGCCUCGAAAACGCUAGCUGCAAGAUUGCAACGUUCACUUGUCAGCAAAUUAAACUAAUUUCAUCCAGG